GCGAGAACGGCUGACGCGGCGGGGACGUUGCCAGGGCAACGGCUCUGCAUCCACCGCCUCGCCUAGAAAAAGCCUCGGGUAGACGGAGAGGAGGAGUUCGGUGUGUGAGAAUCACCUGGGCUGAUUUAACGAGGAGAAACUAUAAGCCACUCAUACACGGGACUACACGGCGAGGACGGUUGUUAUCACCGUCAAAAAAGAUGAUGGCUGUACCACGAGGCACAAAGGACCCAAGAAAAGAUGAAACAAAGUUCACUCAUCUUUGGGCCCUGCAAACAGUGCAAGGCAAAAAACUCUUACCAUCCCGAAGGCCCUUUUUGAGCACACCACUGAUGAAUCAUCAAAUAUCCUGUGUGGAACCCUGCAGAUAUCAGUAAGGGACUGAACUGAGACUGGCUAGCCUUUAAGUGACCUGGAUCCUUAAGCCUGCAAUUCCUGAAGCUGGAUGAAGACCUGCUACAAAUGUUCUUGCCCUGUAGGCUCCAGUAGUUAAUAAUUAUUUUAUUCCUUAUACAUAAGAACUUACAAACCUCAUAGAUAGAUAGACUAUCUAAACCUCAUAGAUAGAUCUAGACUUCCAUUAAAUAAAAAAUACUGUAGAUUUCUUGGCUGUAAGAGUAAAUUGGGUUAGCAAAUUCAUGGGGCUGAAACUGUUCCUUUCGGUUGUUGUUCUUCAAUAUCAGCCAGUACCAAUUUAUAGAUGUUCUACUUCUCACUAACGCAUCUUUAUUAGGUCCCUUUAGAAUCCCUUGCAAUCUUCUCUCAUCUUGCCAAAUGAAAUAAUUUUCAACCAUCUGCAAAAUUAAUUGACUGACUCACUGUUCACAUUUUUUUUCUCAGUGAUUAUACUCAUACAAAACACAUGGGGUUCUAUCAAACGUUGGUCCUAUCAUGUUCCCUGAGAUAAAAAGACUAUUUUUAUUAAAUUUUUACAAGAUUAACUUAUAUUGAAAUAAAAUUCUAUGAUCUGCAUUUCUCCAGUUCCCUACCUUUUCUUUUUUCUUUCUUUUUUUUAAUAGCUGGAACAGUUGUUGCCCUGCAGGUCUCCGGUGUAGCUGCUGAUUUUAACCAGAGAUUGCAAAUUUUGAUAGCUGUUAAAUCCUUUCUGUCUUCAGCACCUGCAGAGCUUUGGAUAGGUACCAGCUAGUUCUAGUGAGUUGCUGUUCGCCAGUUUGUUCCAGCCUCUUUUCCUGUACUUUUCAUCUUAAGUCUCUAUUCGAGGCCUAUCUUCAUUACUUGAAAUUACUGAUCCCGGAUUGGUGAAUGAAUACUUUUGUUGUGACAUGGUGGGAAGGGAUUAUUCAAAGAAUUCUUUAAGUUUAUUUACAUUUUUGUUGUCUUUUAGUUUGUGGUCAUCUUGGGCUUGGGCAUAACUAAUUCACAUCUGACUUCCUGCUUCUGUAAUACCUAGAAAGUUUCCUUGGGUUUGUUGUAUCCCUUGCAGUUAUUCUCCAAAUUCCUGCUGUACUCUUCUACCUUCUUUUCUGCACACUGUCACUAAUGAUUUUCCCUUUUCCUGUUGACUUCUCUUGGGUCAGAUUUCUUUCUUCUCAAGGAGACUAAGUGCACUUCAGUAGAUUUUAAACUUUUUUUACUUAUCUAGCUAAUUUCUUCA